UUUCCAAAAGCCAGUAUUACCUUUUGGAAACAUUUGUAUUUUGUAGCA
rnacentral:ncRNA from 1 species